rnacentral:rRNA from 1 species
UACGAAGGGGACUAGCGUUGUUCGGAUUUACUGGGCGUAAAGCGCGCGUAGGCGGAUCACUAAGUCAGGGGUGAAAUCCCGAGGCUUAACCUCGGAACUGCCUUUGAUACUGGAGAUCUGGAGAUCGGGAGAGGUUGGUGGAAUUCCGAGUGUAGAGGUGAAAUUCGUAGAUAUUCGGAGGAACACCAGAAGCGAAGGCGCCAACUGGCCCGAUACUGACGCUGAGGCGCGAAAGCGUGGGGAGCAAACAGG